rnacentral:rRNA from 1 species
CCUACGGGUGGCAGCAGUGAGGAAUAUUGGUCAAUGGCCGGAAGGCUGAACCAGCCAAGCCGCGUGAGGGACGAAGGUCCCAAGCGUUGUAAACUUCUUUUAUGAGGGGACAAAGUCAGCCACGUGAGCCUGACCGCGGGUACUUCAAGAAUAAGCACCGGCUAAUUCCGUGCCAGCAGCCGCGGUAAUACGGAGGGUCCGGGCGUUAUCCGGAUUUAUUGGGUUUAAAGGGUGCGUAGGCGGACUUUUAAGUCAGCGGUGAAAGUUUCGGGCUCAACCAUAGAGUUGCCGUGGAAACUGGGAGGCUUGAGUAUGCUGGAGGAAGGCGGAAUGCGUGGUGUAGCGGUGAAAUGCGUAGAUAUCACGCAGAACCCCGAUUGCGAAGGCAGCCUGCCAAGCCACAACUGACGCUGAUGCACGAAAGCGUGGGGAUCAAACAGGAUUAGAUACCCGUGUAGUC